UCUGCUUCAGCCACAGGGAAAUGCUGAGCUGUUUAUGGGGCACGUACUAUUACUUUCAAAACUCACAAGAAUAUGCAUUUCCUUCUUUUGGAGGCACUUACAGGCUCUUUACCAGGAAGAUAUCUUCACAAGACUCAAUGGGAUCUAUUUAUACACAAGAACUCUACUCCUCCAUCAAAUACGCAUCAAAUUGGUGAAUAUUUCAAAAAUUAUUAGGAAAGAUGUGGGGAAGGAACAGAACAACUUCUGUUUCACUCUUGGAAAUCAGCUUGAAAUGGAUGCUAUAAAGACAAAGAAGAAUUCGAUUUAAGGCAGCUUUCAAGUUGCUAAGGAUUAUGUGAAAGAUAUAAACUAUUUUCAGCUCACUGCAGAGAGUGAAUCAAAUGCAAGAGUCCAACCUUUCAAGAACAGCCCUUCAGAUAAUUAAUCUACAGAAGGCGAAUUGGAAUGCCCUCAUGGCACUGCCUCUCUGCAGGAGCCAAGGCAAAGACCUCCCAGAUGCCUGGACGAAUAAUGAAGACAUGGGGCUUAUGAGGGAAAUCUUGAACCAUAUAAAUCUUGUGUCAUAUAUAUCAGAGGGACAUAAAGAACAAGCAGAUCCAUCACACAGUCAGAAUGCAAAUGCACUGGUAAACAAAAUACCCAACAAAAGAACUUUGGACAAGUCUCACUAUGCCUAGUUUAGCUGCUGAUUCUUUGAGUCUAUUAAAACUUUGAUUACCCAUUAACUAUUUGAAUUUUCAAAAUAAACUCUAAAUACAUCGUGAAAAGUAAAAUGUUACAA